UACGUAGGGUGCGAGCGUUAAUCGGAAUUACUGGGCGUAAAGCGUGCGCAGGCGGCGCGUUAAGACAGGUGUGAAAGCCCCGAGCUUAACUUGGGAAUUGCGCUUGUGACUGGCGUGCUGGAGUGUGGCAGAGGGAGGUGGAAUUCCACGUGUAGCAGUGAAAUGCGUAGAGAUGUGGAGGAACACCGAUGGCGAAGGCAGCCUCCUGGGCCAGCACUGACGCUCAUGCACGAAAGCGUGGGGAGCAAAC
rnacentral:rRNA from 1 species